UCCAGAAGAUGUGAAACGGCUUUUUUCAAAUGUAGGAUUUUCUUCCGCAAACGCAAUCUCAACAAGCGGUUGAAAUUAAGAAAGCGAAGCAGAGGAUAAUGGGCUACAAAAAGUUCAUUAAAAUUAAUCUUUGAAUAACUCAAAUAAAGUAGCUGUCCAGUGCAGUAUUAGCAGGUGAAAACACGAAAACUGUCCGUCGAAUAACUACAGUAUUUGAAAAUUAAAACAUCGUACAAAGCAUCAUUUGCUGAUUAUCGAAAAUAUGUACAAAGAACUGGCAAUAAUUUUAUCUAGUGGUGGUUUAUAUACUGCUGCGUUGAUUCGGAUUAUCACCUCUGUGAAGCGUGAGGGUGGUCACAAGAAAAUGAAAUGGCUGAUUUGCCUCAUCGCAAUAAAGCAACCAAUACGGCCCGGUCACUGUUACAAAAACUCAUUUAUGAUUAUGAGUUAGAAAAUUCUACUAGCGUACGUAAAUAUAUAGCAAACAAACUGCUAAGUCUCAACGCUUUUAUACCGCAAUGGCUAUAUAGUGUAAUGACUACAAGUUGGCGAAUUGUCCAGAGCUAUUGUAUUUGUUCGUCUUACAUAAUCCCUUAAUUGAAGCUGCCAUAUUAUCACAUGCACCAUUGGAAGCUAUAAGCGAAUACUCAGUUUCAGAUAUCGAGCAGGGGCUCACAAAUUUAGAGGACGACACCACACACGCACAGCAAAUAAAAUAUCCAAAUAAAUGAAAUAACAUUAAUAUAAAUUUAAUUAAAUAAUUUAUUUUUAAUCAAUUUUUCAAUGUUCAAUAACUUAUG